rnacentral:rRNA from 1 species
UGAUCCAGCCAUGCCGCGUGAGUGAAGAAGGCCUUCGGGUUGUAAAGCUCUUUCGGCAGGGAAGAAACGGCGAGCUCUAACAUAGCUCGCUAAUGACGGUACCUGAAGAAGAAGCACCGGCUAACUACGUGCCAGCAGCCGCGGUAAUACGUAGGGUGCGAGCGUUAAUCGGAAUUACUGGGCGUAAAGCGUGCGCAGGCGGUUGUGUAAGACAGGUGUGAAAUCCCCGGGCUUAACCUGGGAACUGCGCUUGAGACUGCACGGCUAGAGUAUGGCAGAGGGGGGUGGAAUUCCACGUGUAGCAGUGAAAUGCGUAGAGAUGUGGAGGAACACCGAUGGCGAAGGCAACCCCCUGGGCCGAUACUGACGCUCAUGCACGAAAGCGUGGGGAGCAAACAGGAUUAGAUACCCUGGUAGUCCACGCCCUAAACGAUGUCGACUAGGUGUUCGGAGAGGAGACUCAUUGAGUACCGUAGCUAACGCGUGAAGUCGACCGCCUGGGGAGUACGGUCGCAAGAUUAAAACUCAA